AUUGAACGCUGGCGGCAGGCCUAACACAUGCAAGUCGAACGAGUGGCGGCCGGGUGAGUAAUGUCUGGGAAACUGCCCGAUGGAGGGGGAUAACUACUGGAAACGGUACCUACUACCGCAUACCAUCGGAUGUGCCCAGAUGGGAGUAGCUAGUAGGUGGGGUAAUGGCGCACCUAGGCGACGAUCCCUAGCUGGUCUGAGAGGAUGACCGGCCACCCUGUAACUGAGACACGGACCAGACUCGUACGUGAGGCAGCAGUAGGUAAUAUGUCACAAUGGGCGCAAGCCUGAUGCAGCCAUGCCGCGUGAGGGGAGAAGGCCGUCGGGUUGUAAAGCACUUUCAGCGAGGAGGCGUUACUCGCAGAAGAAGGACCGGCUAACUCCGUGCCAGCAGCCGCGGUAAUUC
rnacentral:rRNA from 1 species